AAAUUUAUGGGUUGUUUAUCUUGUAUGUUACGCAUCGAUAGGAGGUAACUUCGCGUCAAACGCGAUAUUUCGACGCGUGUUUUUCAAAUAUAACCUUAAACGGUGCGGUGAGCAUUCGAAUGAUACAAAAUUAAAUAAUUUGUUGAUUACAGAUAAUGAUAAAUGGAGGAGAAAUUCUUGAGACGUACCAGUACACCUGCAAUUUAUUGAAAAUAAUUGACAUAGCAGCCAAGUAAAGCAUUUUACUUAUUUCAAGUCUAAAAUUUCGCGCUUCGUUGUUUCUUACGAUGGCCAGAAGAAACAUAAAAGAUCUCCCUGGAACUGGUUUCCAUUGUGAUCGAUUGUCGUCUAAGAUCUUUUAUGAUCGAUGAAGAUAUCUAAUCAUCGUCAAACAUCGUUAGAAGGCACGAAGUGAACAGCUGGAGAAAGUGACUUUUAACUAAUCCUAUUUUUAAUGGCUACGUCAUUCACUGACGAGAAAAGAAAAAAUUUUCAGCUGGUACCAGGUGAGAAAGUUCUUGAUCUAACUAGGAAGCUCGAUUCAAAAUGACUACCGAGCGUUAGUUUCCUACACGUUAGAAGUUUCUGCGGGCGAUUCUGCUGGCAGCUUGUGCAAUCGAUCAACCUGCUCGUUGCGUACACGUGUAGUUGGCCACAUUUGUAACAUUGUACAGGAAUUCUUCAUUACAUGACUUCUUCGACCCGAUUCCUUGACCUCACGAUUCCGAUGUCUGGUUUUUUCGUCUUACCUUUGAAUUUCAAAGAUCGUAAAUCGGUUUCGUAGGAAGUAUGAAAAAUUAAGGAAAGAGAAGUAAUUUGAACGAGAGAGGAUUCGUCCGUAAUUUCGGAUUAAUUUGCAGAACGCAUGAGAGGCGUUAAAAAGGAAAAAUGUAUGCGAAUGAAAGUAACAUCUUUCUGUACGUCUUAAUGAGUCGUGUUUACAUGAAAGUCUUAAACGUCUUCCGGCAUGGCAGUCGCAUCAAGCUAAGAUUCAACGAACACUGUUUGAGUAAAUAUUUCUGUCACUUUUUAUCGCGCAUAAAGCAAUAGGAUUAGGAUAAACUAGUCGCAGCUUUUGUUUCUUUGGAGGCGUGUCUGUGGAAAUAUACGAUACCAAUCUGUUCCACGCCAUUCGUCUGCUAAGGUAAACUAACUUCGGUCAUUAAAAUUCGCCAAAAAUACACGAUCGAUGCUGUUUCGUGUUUUCGGAAAUUAAAUUUCACUGCUGACAUAUCCGUUUAACAAACUUUAUUCCUUUUCAAAUAUAUUUAAACUUAUCUUUAUGGUACCAUUUCUUCUU